rnacentral:rRNA from 1 species
CCAGACUCCUACGGGAGGCAGCAGUGGGGAAUAUUGGACAAUGGACCAAGAGUCUGAUCCAGCAAUUCUGUGUGCACGAUGAAGUUUUUCGGAAUGUAAAGUGCUUUCAGUUGGGAAGAAAAAAAUGACGGUACCAACAGAAGAAGUGACGGCUAAAUACGUGCCAGCAGCCGCGGUAAUACGUAUGUCACAAGCGUUAUCCGGAUUUAUUGGGCGUAAAGCGCGUCUAGGUGGUUAUGUAAGUCUGAUGUGAAAAUGCAGGGCCCAACUCUGUAUUGCGUUGGAAACUGUGUAACUAGAGUACUGGAGAGGUAAGCGGAACUACAAGUGUAGAGGUGAAAUUCGUAGAUAUUUGUAGGAAUGCCGAUGGGGAAGCCAGCUUACUGGACAGAUACUGACGCUGAAGCGCGAAAGCGUGGGUAGCAAACAGGAUUAGAUACCCUGGUAGUCCACGCCGUAAACGAUGAUUACUAGGUGUUGGGGGUCGAACCUCAGCGCCCAAGCAAACGCGAUAAGUAAUCCGCCUGGGGAGUACGUACGCAAGUAUGAAACUCAAAGGAAUUGACGGGGGCCCGCACAAG